AAAUAAUAUAUAGCAAGUAGUGGAACUUGCAAAAAAAAAAGUAUAGCAAGUAGUGGAACUUUGCAUAAAAUAUAUAUAGCGAGUAGUGGAACUUGCAAUUUUUUUUGAUAGACGGCUCUGGCUUACGUUCACGUCGUGUCUAUUGUUAACAAUGAUUAAUAUAUAGUUUCAUUAAUGGAAUUUAAUAUCUUAAUCAUUAACUAAAAGCCAAGACGCAAACUAAUUAGAAUAAUAUUAUAAAACAUUUUUUGUUUUUGAAAUUCUUUUUUAGGUCAGAGGGGGAACCAUCUAUAACAAAUCACAAAGCAUUGUGUGAUGUAUUUUGAGUUUUGGUUGUCAAAAAAAAAGGAAGAGGGGGGGGACAACGACACGCCCCCUCGCCCAUCUACACCCUUGAAACAAAGGGUGCGCUGCUAGUGAUUUUGUAUAGUAGUAAAAUAUAAUUUUUGAUUUGAAUACUAGAUUUCUUUUUAAUUAUAAAGAUAAAUAUUUA